rnacentral:rRNA from 1 species
UACGGGGGGGGGCAAGCGUUGUUCGGAAUUACUGGGCGUAAAGGGCUCGUAGGUGGCCAACUAAGUCAUACGUGAAAUCCCUCGGCUUAACCGGGGAACUGCGUCUGAUACUGGAUGGCUUGAGGUUGGGAGAGGGAUGCGGAAUUCCAGGUGUAGCGGUGAAAAUGCGUAGAUAUCGGGAGGAAUACCAGUGGCGAAGGCGGCCUUCUGGACGGAUACUGACGCUGAGGCGCGAAAGCCAGGGGAGCAAAGCGGG